rnacentral:rRNA from 1 species
GCCGAACGCUGGCGGCGUGCCUAAUCCAUGCAAGUAGAACGCAGUUUCGAACGGGUGAGUAACGCGUAGGUAACUGCCUGGUAGCGGGGGAUCACUAUUGGAAACGAUAGCUAAUACCGCAUACUACCAGAUGGAACUGCGUUGUAUUAGCUAGUUGGUGAGGUAACGGCUCACCAAGGCAACGCUACAUAGCCGACCGUAGAGGGUGAUCGGCCACACCGGGAGUGGGACCCGGCCCAGACGCCUACGGAAGUCAGCAAUAGGGAAUCUUCGUCAAUGGGGGGAGCCCUGACCGAGCAACGCCGCGUGAGUGAAGAAGGUUGUCGGAUCGUAAAGCUCUGUUGUUAAGGAAGCGGUACUUAACCAGAAAGGGACGGCUAACUACGUGCCAGCAGCCGCGGUAAUAC